rfam:Myotis lucifugus cont2.56410, whole genome shotgun sequence.
GGCAGUUCUCGGGUGACGCACCCCAGAAUCAGGCUCCCUCCUCUCUGGUUCUGGGUGAGUCACCUGAGAACCACA